UGUUCUCUAAAUAGGGACUUGUAUGAAUGGCCACACGAGGGUUUUACUGUCUCUUACUUCCAAUCAGUGAAAUUGACCUUCCCGUGAAGAGGCGGGAAUAUAUUAAUAAGACGAGAAGACCCUAUGGAGCUUUAACUACUUAGCCCAAAGAAAUAAAUUUCAUUACUAAGGAAACAACAACACUCUUUAUGGGUUAACAGCUUUGGUUGGGGUGACCUCGGAGAACAAAAAAUCCUCCGAGCGAUUUUAAAGACUAGACCUACAAGUCGAAUCACACAAUCGUUUAUUGAUCCAAAAAAUUGAUCAACGGAACAAGUUACCCUAGGGAUAACAGCGCAAUCCUAUUCAAGAGUCCAUAUCGACAAUAGGGUUUACGACCUCGAUGUUGGAUCAGGACAUCCCGAUGGUGCAACCGCUAUCAAAGGUUCGUUUGUUCAACGAUUAAAGU
rnacentral:rRNA from 1 species